rnacentral:rRNA from 1 species
UGAGAGUGGCGCACGGGUGCGUACACGUAUGCACUACUUUAACUGGGGAAUAGCUCACCGAAAGGUGAAUUAAUACCGCAUAACAUUAUGAAGUAGCAUUACUUUAUAAUUAAACUUUCGAGGGGUAAAGAUGGGCAUGCGUCCGAUUAGCUAGUUGGCGGGGUAACAGCCCACCAAGGCUACGAUCGGUAGGGGUCUGAAGGAUGAUCCCCCACACUGGUACUGAGACAGGUACCAGACUCAUACGGGAGGCAGCAGUAAGGAAUAUUGGACAAUGGAGGAAACUCUGAUCCAGCCAUGCCGGUGAAGGAUUAAGGCCUAUGGGUUGUAAACUUCUUUUAUACGGGACAAAAACCCCUCUACGUGUAGGGGGUUGAUGGUACUGUAAGAAUAAGGGUCGGUAACUUCGUACCAGCAGCCGGGUAAUACGAAGGACCCAAGGUUAUCCGGAUUUAUUGGGUUUAAAGGGUGCGUAGUGGACUUAUAAGUCAGUGGUGAAAGCUGUUGGUUACAAGAACUGCCAUUGAUACUGUAGGUCUUGAGUACAGUUGAGGUGGGCGGAAUGUGUCAAGUACGGUGAAAUGCUUAUUUGACCAAAAC